rnacentral:rRNA from 1 species
CCUACGGGCGGCUGCAGUGGGGAAUAUUGGACAAUGGGCGAAAGCCUGAUCCAGCCAUGCCGCGUGUGUGAAGAAGGCCUUCGGGUUGUAAAGCACUUUCAGUGGGGAAGAAAGCCUUGGGGCUAAUACCCUCGAGGAAGGACAUCACCCACAGAAGAAGCACCGGCUAACUCCGUGCCAGCAGCCGCGGUAAUACGGAGGGUGCGAGCGUUAAUCGGAAUUACUGGGCGUAAAGCGCGCGUAGGCGGUCUGAUAAGCCGGUUGUGAAAGCCCCGGGCUCAACCUGGGAACGGCAUCCGGAACUGUCUGGCUAGAGUGCAGGAGAGGAAGGUAGAAUUCCCGGUGUAGCGGUGAAAUGCGUAGAGAUCGGGAGGAAUACCAGUGGCGAAGGCGGCCUUCUGGACUGACACUGACGCUGAGGUGCGAAAGCGUGGGUAGCAAACAGGAUUAGAUACCCUGGUAGUC